GACGAACGCUGGCGGCGUGCUUAACACAUGCAAGUCGAACGGAAAGGCCCCGUUGGUGGUACUCGAGUGGCGAACGGGUGAGUAACACGUGAGUAACCUGCCCUUGACUUCGGGAUAACUUUAGGAAACUGGGGCUAAUACCGGAUCGGAAUCCUUGCUGCAUGGUGGGGGUUGGAAAGCUUCGGCGGUUUUUGAUGGACUCGCGGCUUAACAGCUUGUUGGUGGGGUAGUGGCUUACCAAGGCUUUGGCGGGUAGCCGGACUGAGAGGGCGACCGGCAACAUUGGCACUGAGAGACGGCCCAGACUCCUACGGGAGGGAGAAGUGGGGAAUAUUGCACAAGGGGCGGAAGCCUGAUGCAGAAACGCCGCGUGCGGGAUGACGGCCUUCGGGUUGGAAACCGCUUGCAGCAGGGGCGAAGCUUGUGGUGACGGUACCUGCAGAAGAAGCACCGGCUAACUACGUG
rnacentral:rRNA from 1 species